rnacentral:ncRNA from 1 species
CGAUGAGAGAAGAACCCCGCUCGCAGGGGACUGCGGGCGGAGCCGGGUCGGGACCUCCCCAGUUCCCGCCCGGGUGUGCCAUCGCGCACCACGCCGGUGCCUCGUGUGCCGGUGAUCCUCACCGAUCGGA